CUAGGAUUAUCCCCUUGGGGCUCUCUGAGGGAUUCCGUCCGUCAGGCUUCUAGCCUGAAAAGGGAUGACCUCGAAGCCUCCAGAAAGCUCGAGGCCUAUCAAGCCCCCCUACUCUCUGAACUUCUGAAGGAACAACUUUUGUUCAAUGUCGACCUGAGUUCUCUUAACCCUACCGGUACCAUUUUUUUUUUUGCUGCUUUCCCUUUCUCUUACUCCAUCUC
rnacentral:lncRNA from 1 species